rnacentral:rRNA from 1 species
UACGGGAGGCAGCAGUGGGGAAUUUUGGACAAUGGGGGCAACCCUGAUCCAGCAAUGCCGCGUGAGUGAAGAAGGCCUUCGGGUUGUAAAGCUCUUUUGUUAGGGAAGAAAAGGUAUCCAAUAAUACUGGAUGCUGAUGACGGUACCUAAAGAAUAAGCACCGGCUAACUACGUGCCAGCAGCCGCGGUAAUACGUAGGGUGCAAGCGUUAAUCGGAAUUACUGGGCGUAAAGCGUGCGCAGGCGGCCUCGCAAGUCAGAUGUGAAAUCCCCGAGCUCAACUUGGGAACUGCAUUUGAAACUACGAGGCUAGAGUGUGUCAGAGGGAGGUAGAAUUCCACGUGUAGCAGUGAAAUGCGUAGAGAUGUGGAGGAAUACCAGUGGCGAAGGCGGCCUCCUGGGAUAACACUGACGCUCAUGUACGAAAGCGUGGGGAGCAAACAGGAUUAGAUACCCUGGUAGUCCACGCCCUAAACGAUGUCAACUGGUUGUUGGGUCUUCAUUGACUUAGUAACGAAGCUAACGCGUGAAGUUGACCGCCUGGGGAGUACGGUCGCAAGAUUAAAACUCAAAUGAAUUGACGGGGACCCGCACAAGCGGUGGAUGAUGUGGAUUAAUUCGAUGCAACGCGAAAAACCUUACCUACCCUUGACAUGCCACUAACGAAGCAGAGAUGCAUUAGGUGCUCGAAAGAGAAAGUGGACACAGGUGCUGCAUGGCUGUCGUCAGCUCGUGUCGUGAGAUGUUGGGUUAAGUCCCGCAACGAGCGCAACCCUUGUCAUUAGUUGCCAUCAUUAAGUUGGGCACUCUAAUGAGACUGCCGGUGACAAACCGGAGGAAGGUGGGGAUGACGUCAAGUCCUCAUGGCCCUUAUGGGUAGGGCUUCACACGUCAUACAAUGGUCGGUACAAAGGGUCGCCAAGCCGCGAGGUGGAGCCAAUCCCAUAAAACCGAUCGUAGUCCGGAUUGGAGUCUGCAACUCGACUCCAUGAAGUCGGAAUCGCUAGUAAUCGUGGAUCAGAAUGUCACGGUGAAUACGUUCCCGGGUCUUGUACACACCGCCCGUCAAACCAUGGGAGUGGGUCUCACCAGAAGUAGUUAGCCUAACCGUAAGGAGGGCGAUUACCACGGUGGGAUUCAUGACUGGGGUUAAGUCGAAACAAGGUAGCCGUAUCGGAA